AGCAGUCGCCACGGUAAUACGAGGGGGGCAAGCGUUGUUCGGAAUUAUUGGGCGUAAAGGGCGCGUAGGCGGUUUGGCAAGUUUGGUGUGAAAUCUUCGGGCUCAACUCGAAGUCUGCACCGAAAACUGCCGGGCUUGAGUAUGGGAGAGGUGAGUGGAAUUUCCGGUGUAGCGGUGAAAUGCGUAGAUAUCGGAAGGAACACCUGUGGCGAAAGCGGCUUACUGGACCAUUACUGACGCUGAGGCGCGAAAGCUAGGGGAGCAAACAGGAUUAGAUACCCCGGUAGUCCCUGUCUCUUAUAC
rnacentral:rRNA from 1 species